CCUACGGGAGGCAGCAGUAAGGGAUAUUGCACAAUGGACGGAAGUCUAUGCAGCGACGCCGCGUGGUGAAAAGGUUUUCGGAUCGUAAAGCCCUUUUCUAUGUAACGAGAGAGGACGGUAGCAUAGGGAUAAGUGUCGGCUAACUACGUGCCAGCAGCCGCGGUAAAACGUAGGACGCGAACGUUAUCCGGAGUUACUGGGCGUAAAGCGCGCGUAGGCGGUUGGUUAAGUUACCUAUGAAAGCUACAGGCUAAACUUGUAUUGGUUAGGUGAAACUGGCUAACUAGAGAGAAAUAGAGGGAAGUAGAAUUCCGGGUGUAGUGGUGAAAUGCGUAGAUAUCCGGAGGAAUACCGGUGGCGAAGGCGGCUUCCUGGAUUUCCACUGACGCUGAUGCGCGAAAGCGUGGGUAGCGAACGGGAUUAGAAACCCCGGUAGUCCACGCCGUAAACGAUGUACAUUAGGCGUUCGGUUACGCAAGUAAUUGAGUGUCGCAGCAAACGCGCUAAAUGUACCGCCUGGGGAGUACGGUCGCAAGGCUAAAACUCAAAGGAAUUGACGG
rnacentral:rRNA from 1 species